AUGUACCACGCGUCCACUGCGGUUCUGAGCGCUACGUCCGCACCCACUUGACGACUGCUCGCUACGUUUUGUUAGCC
rfam:Xanthomonas oryzae pv. oryzae KACC10331, complete genome.